CUUGGAUUUGUGCAGAGGGAGAGCUGGAGAGAGAAAUAGAUAGACAGAGGGAUCAACAGAGGAGAGAACUGUUAGAUGGAUGGAUGGAUGGAUGGAUGGAUGGAUGGAUGGAUGGAUGGAUGGAUGGAUGGAAAAACGGAUUGAAGGAUCAUUGGAUUGUUGGAUGAAAGGGUGGAUGUAAAUACAGGUGGGUGGAGAGAUCAACAGGAAAAUAUGAUUUCUGCCUCAAAGACCAGUGUGCCCCCAGGCCCCACUCCCUCCAUGGGAACCAGUGGCGGUGGCCCUGCGGGUACAGAACCCACGUCCCAUUGGCUGGAGCCACUCUCUUGGCUGCUACAGAACCCAGAACCUUUGGAGGAGGCUCAGUUCCAUGGCUCUGGCAUGGGGAGUGCUGGAUCCCUGGAUCCUCUGUCCAUUUGGGAUGGGGUGAUGGGGUCUGUGGUGCAGGAUGGAUCUUGGGUAUGGUGGUCUGUUGCCCCCUUUUAGUGGGAUGUGGGGUGAGAGAAGUCCUUGCCGUAUGAGUCCCUUUCUUACAGGAGGGAUUGGGCUCUAUGGAGUAGAAUGGGUCAGUGAGGUCCGUUGCCCACCUAUCAGGUUUACGGGGUCCAGUGGGGCAGGGAGGGGUCCCAAACCCCUCAGUUGGAUGCCCUGUUUAAGGUGGGAAGGAGGAUAAUGAGGUAAAGUGGGGCAGAGGGAGGGCCCCCUCCUUGCCCCUCCCCUUCAUUGCUGUGAUGUCAGUGGGGUAACAGCAGUUCUCAGGGUAACUGUCCCAACCCCAAACCAUCCUAGACUUCUCUCUGAUCAGCUGUGAAGAUGGUGCCUUGUGGCCUUGUUCCCAUCUGGGAUGGAUCGUUCUACAAUGCUGUGUGUCCCAUUGGGCCAAAGUACUGGUUUGGUGCUGAAAUCCAACUCCAUUCCUCACCAGCUGUAUUCCCAAGGAAUCCUCCUUCCCCAUCCUCCCCAAGCUCCCAACUUCUAUCUCCAACUGAUGUGCAGGAAUCAAACUCUAUAACCACAGAGUAGUUAUAAAGCAGAAUCACAGGAGCUAAAAUAGUCUGAAAAAGAAGAGUCCAAAUUCUUGCCUUUGGAAGGCCCAGCUCGUUACCCAACUCCUGAGCAAAGAAAAAGAAGAAUAAAGGCUUCAGUCACCACACAUACUCACACUGGGAGGUGGCAGUGGGAGGGAGGUGGGAGGUGAAAGGAGGGAUGGAGAAGAGGACGGAUGGACAACGUGGAAGUAGAGAGGGAUGGAUAGGGGGAGGGAUGGAGAACGAGGAAGGAGGGAGGGACACGCACCGGGCCACGUGCUUGGCUCACAAAGGUGACACCAUCCUCCCUGUCACAGACUUCAGCCUCAGCGUGACUGUCAGCCCUGUGGACACGCUGGCUGUCACUGUGCCCACCGUCUGCCACAACAUCACCUGCAGCCUCUGUGGAACUUCAAUGGCCGUGUCCACACCGACCGCCUCAUCCAGAGCAGCACUGCCACGGGUCACCGCCUCAGUCCUGGUCCCAGGUGUCCCCUGUGCCAGCAAUCCCCCAGCAGCGAGUGAGUGGGCAGUGGACACAACCUGGGCUUCUCGCCAGGCCCUGCACGGGUGGUGGCAGCGUUCCAGGGGCACCGCCUCCGGCCCCACCCAUCCCUCUCCAAAAACGAGCUGAUGCUGUUCUCCUGGUUUGAGCGGCUGUGUACGGACUGUGCGACUGCCCGAGGGGAACCUUCCAACCUACUGCCUGAACUGAACUGAACUGAACUUCGGUGUCACGAGCGCGGCUGCAGAUAUGCAGUAACCGUACUGAAACUGCAACUAUCUGAAGACCCACAUGCAGAACAAACCGUACAGUGCACAGAAAUCACUGCAGUGAUGAAGGAACUCGGCAACGGGGCCGCUGUUGUGUUUUGGUAACAGUGAGGAGGCACCAGCAACGAGCUGUGGAUUGGCUGCCCCCCCUGCGCUGCACUGUGCAUUCACGCGCUGGCCACGCAUAGAGUGCGUGAUCCGGCUCAGGGCAUACAGACAUGUCAGGAGGGCAGCAGGGUGAGGUAACUCAGGCAGAGGACACCGCUGCCUCCAUGGGGAUGCCCGCAAGGCCCUGAGCCAACCAGUCCCUCCCUUUACAGCCAAUCCGAGCUGUGCUGGCUGAUGGUCCUUUUGGGACCUCUUGGCGGAUCAGUAGCUGUGCACAGCAGUGCUUAAACGCUCGCUUUGGCCGACUGUGUGUGUGAACGUGUGUUCUGUGCAGUGCCUCAUCCCCGCGUCCCAACACCCCGACGCAGCAGUGCUCCGUGCCGUCCUGCAGGCUGCUGUGCAGCGCGCAGUGCUGCAGAGCUGUACUUCCCGGCCCUGUGCUCACCAGCAGUCUCGUGUGAGUUCUGCCUCCCCCAGAAAACUCUUCUGGGGCAGUGCUGGU
ensembl:lncRNA